rnacentral:rRNA from 1 species
AUGGAUGCCACAGGCGCUGUGGAGUGGUGGGAGGAGUGGCAGCUGCGCAUCCUCGUCCUUGGUAGCCUGGUGAUUCAGUACUUCCUCCUUGUCUCUUCUGUCGCACGUAAAUUCCCCAUAAGAUCCUGGUGUAGACCUGUCAUCUGGCUAGCGUACAUGGCCAGCGAUGCCAUUGCAAUUUAUGCACUCGCCACCCUCUUCAACCGCCAAAGGAAGUCACAUGAAGAGGAUGGAGACGAUGUCAGCAGCAUCCUGGAGGUGUUGUGGGCGCCUAUCCUCCUGAUACACCUAGGUGGACAGGACGGCAUAACCGCCUACAACGUCGAGGACAACGAGCUGUGGACGCGGCACAUCCUCACCUCAGUGUCUCAGGUCACCGUGGCUGUCUAUGUCUUCUGCAAAUCAUGGUCAGGCAACGACAAGAGGCUGCUAUGGGCGGCAAUAUUGCUCUUCAUCUUUGGUACCCUCAAAUGCAUCGAGAAGCCCUGGGCUCUCAACAGGGCCAGCAUUAACAGCUUGGUAAGCUCCGGCGAGCCGAUACAGAGGUCAAUAAACACUCAGAAGCUCAAAAUUGAUCCACUUGAAGAUUUUAUUGACAAAGCAACCUGUCCUCCUGAGGAUAAUAGUUAUCUUUUAACACCAGCCACGCCGGUGGACUUCACUCCCCAUAAGUUAUUUGUGGACCAUGCAUCUCCUUCUGCUGAUGAUCGGAUCAGGCUACUACUGUCCUUCUCAGCACUUGAUGACAUCGAUGCCUACUGUAAGAUGCAGCAGUGGCUCUCUCAGACGUUCCAACUCCUCUACACCAAAGAAAAGAUGUGCAACAUUGCCCAGUAUGCGGUCUACAUCAAAGAAAUGAAAUCUUCAACCGGUGUCACACCUUCUGACCAAGGAGUUCCACUAAGUUUUGGUAUGCUUCUGCGUGGACUAAUUCCGUAA